UUAGAUUUUCUUUCUAAUAAUUUCAUUCUAAUCUAUGUAUAUCUUUUACGUAGAAAAUUUUCAUGCAUCUAAAUUUUUGUUUUAUUUUACAGUGGUCACUGGGUGUUGGUUGCUAUGGAUCUUUCGAGACUAAUGGUGUAUUAUCUCGAUUCGUUAUCGGGUGAUUGGAGUAAAUAUCCGAGUAUGAAGAAGACGGUUGACGCGGCAAUACUAAAAUUUAGAUCGAAAAAGAAUUAUCGUAAUAGGAAGGACAUUACCUGGGUCAGAGUUCAGUGUCCUCAGCAAAACAAUUCGGUCGAUUGCGGAUUUUUUGUAUUGAGAUUUAUGAGAGAUAUCAUUGCGUUGAAUCGUAUAGACAUCCAAAAAAUGGUAUGGAAUAAUAACUUAGGGUUUAUUUUAAUAUUAUCGAAUAUUUCAUCUAAUUUGUUACUAAAUCAUGAAUAUGUUUUAUUCUCUUAA